GCCCCUGUAGCUCAACGGAUAGAGUAGACCCGUCCUAAGGGUAAGAUGACAGUUCAAUUCCGUCCAGGGGCA
rnacentral:tRNA from 1 species